rnacentral:rRNA from 1 species
AACGAACGCUGGCGGCAUGCCUAACACAUGCAAGUCGAACGAGACCUUCGGGUCUAGUGGCGCACGGGUGCGUAACGCGUGGGAACCUGCCCUUAGGUUCGGCAUAACUCCCCGAAAGGGGUGCUAAUACCGGAUAAUGUCUUCGGACCAAAGAUUUAUCGCCUUUGGAUGGGCCCGCGUUGGAUUAGCUAGUUGGUAGGGUAAAAGCCUACCAAGGCGACGAUCCAUAGCUGGUCUGAGAGGAUGAUCAGCCACACUGGGACUGAGACACGGCCCAGACUCCGACGGGAGGCAGCAGUGGGGAAUAUGGGACGAUGGGCGAAAGCCUGAUCCAGCAAUGCCGCGUGAGUGAUGAAGGCCUUAGGGUUGUAAAGCUCUUUUACCCGGGAUGAUAAUGACAGUACCGGGAGAAUAAGCUCCGGCUAACUCCGUG